AAAAGGUUUGGUCCUAGCCUUACUGUCAACUUUUACCCAACCUACACAUGCAAGUCUCCGCACCCCUGUGAGAAUGCCCUUACACCCCUAAUCAGGGACAAGGAGCCGGUAUCAGGCACAACCCUUAGCCUAAGACACCUAGCCACGCCACACCCACAAGGGCCCUCAGCAGUGAUAAACUUUGAAUAUUAGCGACAGCUUGAUUCAGUUAGUGUAAAAAGAGCCGGCCAACACGGUGCCAGCCGCCGCGGCUACACCGGGGGCUCAAGCUGACAACCACCGGCGUAAAGCGUGAUUAGACUCCACAUUAAAGUUAAACCCCCACCGUGCUGUUAUAAGCUUGUCAGGGAGAAAAACACUCAUGAAAAUAACUCUAAGUCUAUAAAAUCACGACAGCUGAGGAACAAACCGGGAUUAGAUACCCCGCUAUGCUCAGCCGUAAACUUUACUAUUACCCCUCCACUCGCCGGGGAAUUACGAGCUCAAGCUUAAAACCCAAAGGACUUGACGGUACCCCAAUCCCCCUAGAGGAGCCUGUUCUUUAAUCGAUGACCCCCGUUAAACCUCACCACUUCUAGCCCGUCCGCCUGUAUACCUCCGUCGCCAGCCCACCGCCUGAGCGCAUAAGAAAGUGGGCCUAAAGAGACCCCCCCCCCUCACGUCAGGUCAAGGUGCAGCGUAUGAAGUGGAAAGAAAUGGGCUACACUCUCUAAUCUAGAAAACACAAAAGACUACCCUGAAACACCAGUCUGAAGGCGGAUUUAGCAGUAAAAAGAAAAAAGAGAGUUCUUUUUAACCCGGCCCUGGGGUGCGUACACACCGCCCGUCGCCCUCUUCGAUAACACUUUAAUAGUAAAUAACAUCUCACCAUAAAACAGAGAAGAGGUAAGUCGUAACAUGGUAAGUGUACCGGAAGGUGUACUUGGAAUAA
rnacentral:ncRNA from 1 species